CGCGUGAGCAAUCUGCCUUGGAGUGGGGAAUAACGGUUGGAAACAGCCGCUAAUACCGCAUGAUACAGUUGGGGAGGCAUCUCUCUGACUGUCAAAGAUUUAUCGCUCUGAGAUGAGCUCGCGUCUGAUUAGCUUGUUGGCGGGGUAACGGCCCACCAAGGCGACGAUCAGUAGCCGGACUGAGAGGGUGGACGGCCACAUUGGGACUGAGACACGGCCCAAACUCCUACGGGAGGCAGCAG
rnacentral:rRNA from 1 species